UACGAGGGGUGCAAGCGUUGUUCGGAAUCACUGGGCGUAAAGGGAGCGUAGGCGGAACUCCAAGUCGGUCGUACAAUGCCGGGGCCCAACCCCGGACCUGCGGCCGAGACUGGUUUUCUUGAGUUGUUUAGAGGCAGGCGGAAUUCCAGGUGUAGCGGUGGAAUGCGUAGAGAUCUGGAAGAACACCAAUGGCGAAGGCAGCCUGCUGGGAACAAACUGACGCUGAGGCUCGAAAGCGCGGGUAG
rnacentral:rRNA from 1 species